UAUUCGCAACUGCCCAUUGCUCACACCACUACUAGAAUUUGACAAGGGGAAAUACUGGCCAAAUAUUGCUCAUAUUCCCAUCAUACAGGUCGAUUGGAAAUACAUGUGAUGAUUAAAACAAAUGGUGCUCCCACUGAUGUAAGUUAUUCUUUUCCCUCAGAAACUUGUUAUUUUUGUUUUCUUCACUUUUCUUUUUUGCUAAUUUUUUUCCUUUUCUUUUUUUAUAUCCUGUUGAGCAGUGUGGAAUGUCUUUUGCUCAAUCCACACCGAAAAUUGCUCAUACUUCCACCAUAAAUGUUGAUUUGGAGAACCUGUAAUGAUUAUCACGAGUGGUGCUCCGAUAGAUAGAUGUAAGUUAUUCUAUUUCCUUAGUAGCUUUCCAUUUUUGGUUAAAUUCUUUUUCUUUGUUACAUCUUUUUUGACCAGUGUGUAGCAUCUAUUGCUUCCGUGAAGUCGAGGAAAUAGCUAUAGAUCAGGAUAAACUCUUUUAUAUUUGCAUUGAGACAUUGUAAAAGAAAAUCAUAUAUCAUAUCAUAUUAUAAGUGGGAAGCCUCUAUGUCAAAAGUUGAAUUACAAAAUGUCCUUGUAAUAUCAUAAUAUUUAUGGACAAAAAUGUAAAUAUAUAUUAAAUAUAAAUAAAAACUAUUGUAUUCUAUUAAACACUAUUAUUACAUAUUUAUGAACAAAAAUAUAAAUACACAUUAAUUAUAAUAAAUAUCAUAAAAUAUUUAUAAUAAUAAUAUUAUAUUCUAAAAAUGGAGAACUCACAAUCUUUGGCAUGAAUUAAUAUAGAUACAAUGAAUAUUUGUACAAUUGGAUGAUAUCCUAUUAAAUGACAAAAGAAAAUCAAAAGUUUAGGAACAAUUAAAAUGACCCUUAAGUGUACCUCAAUUACUCCUACCGUGCAAAGGUAUAAAAAUUUUCAGAUGAAUUAUAUUCAAAAAAUUAUAUUAAAUGCUAAGUAAUUGCUUCAAUAAAUACUUACUAUGAAAACUUGCAAUCGUUGAACUUUUGAUUUUCUUCUAUUAUAAUUAGCACAAACUAAUGAUGAAUAAUAUACUUGGUAAAUUAGUUAAAUUUAUCUUAUAUAAAUGGACAUUUAGCAUAUGCAUAAACUUUCACUAUUGGAUAUAUAUAUAUAAUUCUAUACUUAUUAAGCUCCCAAGUUAAAAGUUGAAUUACAAAAAUACCCUUCAACUAAAAAAAGAGAUUUUUUAAUAAAUGGUUGUAAUAUAAUUCUAUACUUAUUACGCUUUAAUUGUUUUAUAUAAUAAAAUAAUAAAUGGAAAAUGAAAAAAACCAAAGAGACGAUGAUCAGAUAAUAAUUUUUGAUACUUUAAAACUUUUGGUUUUUUUAUGUUAGAGAAAAGAACCCUUUCCUUUCUUCAUUUACAUUUUUAAAAAAAAUAGACCAAUAACUCUCUAAAUUAUCUAAUCUUUCCUCUUCCCCAAUUUAUUACUCAAUUAAAUCUUAAGUUAUAUAUAUUGAAUGAAAGAUGAAAGAACUUCCUGAAUAUACCGUUUCAUAUUCCUUUUUUGUGCACUUAUAUAAUUUAUAUAAAUGCAUAUUAUCAUAUAAGAUAAUAGGGUUGCUUCACUUCAGUUGCAACAUAAUAUUAUGAUAUAUUCUUUUGCCUCAUUUUCUUUUCAUUGCUUUAAUUUAUUUUUUUCUGUUUCAUGUCUGAUGUAGUGUAUUUCUUUGCUUAUAACAGGUCAUUUAGGUGAAUACUUUUUCUUCCAUAUUAUUCUUAUUUGUAAAAUAUAAGGUAUGUGCGUUUAUAUUCUCAUUCAUUCCUAUUUUUUUAAUAAUGUAGAUGCAUUCUUGGUGAAUUAUUUUGUUUUACUGUUUAUGGGGUUUCAUAAUUGGAGUGGUAGUUCCUUCAAAGAAAUAUUAGUAAAAGACAUUCCAAAAUAUCGUGAAAAAGACAUAUUUAGAGUUGAUUUAUAUUGUAAGCACAUUUGAAUGUUGCAUAUGAUUGUUGUAGUCCUCCUUUCUCAUUUUUUUAUUUCCAUUUCACUCUUAAAAAGAUAACAAUGAUUUUUUUUCCUAAUGUAAUCACUAUUCCUUUGCCUUCUUUUAAAAGUGAUAGUCAAUUCAUGAUUUUAUAAAAAUAACUACAAAUAGUUAAUUUACUUUGUAGUUUUAGUGAUAAUGUUUGGUUAUUUUUUAGAGUGUGCAAUUUAUUUUUACCAUUAUAAAUAAAUUACAUACGCUUUAAAUUUAUUGUAAUACAAUGUAAAUUACCUUGGUUAUUAUUAAUUAUUUUUAUUUUCCAUCUUCCUAUGUAUUAAUUUUUCUCAUAAUCUAUUUAUCUUCCUUUGCCUCAAAACAUUGUUAUCAUAUAUAUAUGUUAUUAUUUUGUUUCUUUUGUUUACUACUCUUCACCAUGCUACUAUAUCUUAUGUGUCAAUUUAGUUAUCAAAUUUUUUUUCCAGGUAAAAUAUUAAUGACCCAUGAAAUUUAUUCUUGAAAAGCUCGGUGUUUUCUUGAUCUAUUUCCAAAGUUAUUAUAUAGAUCUUAAGAGUAUUGAAUACUUAUCUGUUAGAUUGAAGCAAAUUACUCUGAAUUUUAUUACAUCUACAUCUUUAUCUAUUAAACUUAAAUUUGACCUUUCUAUAGCAAUCAGUUGAUUAGUGCUUUGUUAAUAGUAACUCUCUGAUGGGAUGUAAUUUAAGCAUUUUCCCUUGAUUUUGUGGCAGAGCAACACUAUUAUAUUAUAUAUAGAUAUAGCACAUUUGCAUCAUAAGAGCACCUAGACUAUUCUACAAAAUGAACUUGUAAUUUUCUAAAAGUGGGAACAAUCUAAGUCAAAAGUUGAAUUACGAAGAUACUUUUUGACUAUUAAUUUAUUUUCUUAAGAUCAUUUAAAAAAAAUAUUUUUCCAUUUAAAAUCAACUUCAUAACUACACCUCUUCAUUUUCCUAACUUAUCAUCUUAUGAUCAUAAAUAAACAAUAAAUAAUAAAUAAUAAGAAUAAAAAUAAAAAUUUAUUAAAAGUAGAAAACUCAAAAAUUUAAAGUUGGAUUACCAUUUUACUCUUAUACUAAAUAAAAAAGUUAUAAAAUAUUUUAAUAAUUAAAUAUUAAAUAAUAAUCAUAAAUUAAUUUGUCAUUUUUCCUUCACAUAAAAAAGGGAAAUAAAACUUUUAUUAAAUUAGUAAAUAUAGUAAGUAUAUAUAUAAGUACGACCACAAUAUUUUAAAAACUGAAUUAUCAAAAUGUCCAUAAAAUGUUGAAUGACAUCAAUAUCCUUCAAUCAAAUAUUAUUCCUAUAAUAAUAUUGUACAUGGAUUUAAAUAUAUACUUAGUUCAAUGCAUUAGGCUAUUGAAUAUAUAUACACGAAAAAACCCAUUAAUGUUUUGUCAUUUAUUUAACUCUUAUUUAUGUUUUUUUCUUUCUUGAAGGUAAGUCUAUCUUCUAAUAAAUAAAAAUAAAUAAUAAUAUAGCAAAUGAAUGACCUAGAUAAAUUAAAGACAUAGAGUUAUGUGUAUUCAAUUUCUGUAAAUGCUUUAUCUUCCGAUUCUUAAUGCGAAAAGUAAAAUAUCUCUUUGUAGUAAUAAACAUAUGGAGAAUUGAAAAAGUUGCUUGGUAUAUUCAAUGCGGAGUAAUUCAUUUGAUCAAUUCAAUACAAUAUAUUCAUUUACUAAAAUGUUAUAUAUUGUGUAUAUAUAGUGAAAAAUCACAAGACAAUUAUUUCAAUUCAUCAAAUUAUUAGAUUAUCAAUCCUACUUUGUGUAGCGACAUUUUUUCAUAUUCAUUUUGUGUUUGUGUCUCUCUUUUCUACUUCUGCUUAUGUACUCUAUUUUUUCUAUUCAUAUUAUAAGUUAUUGUCUUUAAUUUGACUUAUUCAUAUAUGUUUUCUGAUUAGUUGAAAGUUCAUUUUACUUGGGUAUGCAAACAUUUGUAUCAUAGUUAUUUCACCUCUUGCAACAUAGAAAUUUAUCAUAGAAAUAUCAAAUCAGAUAAGAUUACUUUUUUUUUAAGUAUCUCCUUGGAGUAUCAUGAAACUAUAUGUUCUUGUUUAUGUAAUUUUGGUUAGGAAUCAAUUUACAUAAUUUAACUUAUAUUUUUUUUGUUUAAUUUACAUAAGAUAGAACUAAUAAUUUUGAAUUAGGCAAGGGGUACACGACCUAUAACAAUUAUGAUUUAUAUACAUCGAUUAGAUAUUUGAGCAAUUAUUAUUUUUAUCACUAAUAAUAACUAUUUUUUUUGUAGGUGUACACCAAAAAAUUGACAAUGAUCCACUAGCUAUCAUAAGAAAUGUAUGUGUUGAUCGAAUUUAUAUGCACUUUUUACAAAACACAAAUCACAUUCGAUAACAAUUUCUUGACCUGUAUGUGAUUGUAAUAAGGUGGAGGCUACAAUUUCUAGAAAGAAGGCAAAAAUUUUAGAACAUGAAAUAUUUUGAACCAAUAAGAGAUACUUAAAUUA
rnacentral:lncRNA from 1 species